GUCUAAGCCAUACCGCCCUGAACGCGUCUGAUCUUGUCUGAUCUUGGAAGCUAAGCAGGGGCGGGCCUGGUUAGUACUUGGAUGAGAGACCGUUUGGAAACACCGGGUGCUGUAGGCU
rnacentral:rRNA from 1 species